rnacentral:rRNA from 1 species
UGCUUAACCAUGCAAGUCGAACGAUGAACCACUUCGGUGGGGAUUAGUGGCGAACGGGUGAGUAACACGUGGGCAAUCUGCCCUGCACUCUGGGACAAGCCCUGGAAACGGGGUCUAAUACCGGAUAUUGACCUUCACGGGCAUCUGUGAGGUUCGAAAGCUCCGGCGGUGCAGGAUGAGCCCGCGGCCUAUCAGCUUGUUGGUGAGGUAAUGGCUCACCAAGGCGACGACGGGUAGCCGGCCUGAGAGGGCGACCGGCCACACUGGGACUGAGACACGGCCCAGACUCCUACGGGAGGCAGCAGUGGGGAAUAUUGCACAAUGGGCGAAAGCCUGAUGCAGCGACGCCGCGUGAGGGAUGACGGCCUUCGGGUUGUAAACCUCUUUCAGCAGGGAAGAAGCGAAAGUGACGGUACCUGCAGAAGAAGCGCCGGCUAACUACGUGCCAGCAGCCGCGGUAAUACGUAGGGCGCAAGCGUUGUCCGGAAUUAUUGGGCGUAAAGAGCUCGUAGGCGGCUUGUCACGUCGGUUGUGAAAGCCCGGGGCUUAACCCCGGGUCUGCAGUCGAUACGGGCAGGCUAGAGUUCGGUAGGGGAGAUCGGAAUUCCUGGUGUAGCGGUGAAAUGCGCAGAUAUCAGGAGGAACACCGGUGGCGAAGGCGGAUCUCUGGGCCGAUACUGACGCUGAGGAGCGAAAGCGUGGGGAGCGAACAGGAUUAGAUACCCUGGUAGUCCACGCCGUAAACGGUGGGCACUAGGUGUGGGCAACAUUCCACGUUGUCCGUGCCGCAGCUAACGCA